UUCCAGGGAGGCCUCCGUGUAGGCCGCAGUGAAGCCUGAACUCGAGUAGGGCCCAAGCAAGCCAGGAAGGAGGAGGCAGCUAGAGUGUUCUCUGCAGCAGAAGACCCCUUGCUGCCCUGCUCAACCCAGACCAGCAUUUGCCAGUUCCUGGAUGGGAAACUGCCUGGGAAUCCUAUGUACAUGGUUUUAUGCUGAUUCAUCAUGAAAGAACAGUUUGUGAGCGCAAAUAUGUUUCUGAGCCAGGUGAGAGAUCAUGGAGACAAGCAAUUUUCCUACAAGGCCUAUGGUGCUCAUCUCCUCAAUGAGCCUACUACAGAUGCUCAGAAAUAACACUGAUCCUCAGAAGAGAAGAAUGGUAAAGCUCACCAUCAGCCACAGCUCUGAGGGAUUUGAUUUCAGUCAGUGGGGAACAUUUGAGGCCAGAUAUGACUAUAAGCAUGAGCAUGUUCUUGGCUGUGUCUAGUUCUGGGGGCAAGUGAAAGUAGAUACGCAUACUUGUGAAAAAAUUCAAGGUAUUUCGUCAUCUUCAAUGGCAACUGUGCAGCAAUCUCACAUCAUGAUUAUGACUCUUUUAGGCCUGCAAAUGGAUGAAACAGAUUAUGUCAUGCCAUGAAAACAUCGAGGGGCCAUGUGUCUAUUGUGAGAGGAGCAGUGUUGCAUGGCAUUCUGAAACACUGUAUACAACAUUUUUCUGCUAUCUGCCAUGAGUGUAAAAUACAGGCUGGAGCAUACAAGCCAGUCAUGAAUGCAUGUCAUGGACAGAUAUGGAUAUUAACAGGAAACUACAUAGUGAUAUUUGCAGUCCAUACUCCACAUAGUUUUAACAAUUGCUUAUGGUCUCCGAUGCCUUGUUCUACCUCAGGACAAUGUUGGCCAGGUUUUAAUACUGAUCACCAGCACUGGGAUAAAACACUGAGACUCUCUGAUCACAGGAUGCUCCAGCAAGUACAGCAUGUUCCAGAAUAAAGAUGACAAAUAAUUUUUACCACCAUGUCAAUGUAAAAGAAAAGGAGAAUGAAGUCUGUAAAUAACGUGUGAAAUCAAAUGUUUAAUUUUGAAAUACACUGGUGUGCUUUAUUUUCUUUUCCUAUUUUAAAACAGGCCAG